rnacentral:tRNA from 1 species
UUUUCUAUAGUAUAUAAGUACAGCUACCUUCCAAGUAGAAAGACUAAGUUUAGUAGUUACU